rnacentral:lncRNA from 1 species
CAUUUGUUAGACGACAGAUCUACAAAACUGUGGAAGAAAAAGUGCGAAAGCAAACCAAAGGCCUUUAUCCUGCCCCUCUGAAAAUAAUUGAUGUUGUAAAAACUGGACUUGAGCAAGGGAGUGAAGCUGGUUAUCUUGCUGAAUCACAGAAAUUUGGAGAGCUGGCAUUGACCAAAGAAUCAAAAGCCUUGGUGGGACUAUAUCAUGGCCAAGUCCUGUGCAAGAAAAAUAAAGUUGGAGNNN